rnacentral:rRNA from 1 species
CACUGCCCGGUAGCUAAAUGCGGAAGAGAUAAGUGCUGAAAGCAUCUAAGCACGAAACUUGCCCCGAGAUGAGUUCUCCCUGAGACUUWRAGUCUCCUGAAGGAACGUUGAAGACGACGACGUUGAUAGGCCGGGUGUGUAAGCGCAGCGAUGCGUUGAGCUAACCGGUACUAAUGAACCGUGAGGCUUAACCUU